AUGCAUGAGCCGGUGUUUGUCAGGGAGAAUGCUCUGGUCUCCAGCUGGGUCUGCAUACAUUGACUUCUGGAACGAGAGCACAUCCCUGACAUUCUGAGAUUAUACGGCCUGAACUUGAUCUCUGGAUAAUACCAGCGAAAGGAUUCAUGCAGUCAACUUAC
rnacentral:ncRNA from 16 species